UACGGGGGGGGCAAGCGUUGUUCGGAAUUACUGGGCGUAAAGGGCUCGUAGGCGGCCAACUAAGUCAGACGUGAAAUCCCCAGGCUCAACCUGGGAACUGCGUCUGAUACUGGAUGGCUUGAAUCCGGGAGAGGGAUGCAGAAUUCCAGGUGUAGCGGUGAAAUGCGUAGAUAUCUGGAGGAACACCGGUGGCGAAGGCGGCGUCCUGGACCAACACUGACACUGAUGAGCGAAAGCCAGGGGAGCAAACGGG
rnacentral:rRNA from 1 species